UACGGAGGAUGCAAGCGUUAUCCGGAUUUAUUGGGUUUAAAGGGUGCGUAGGUGGGAAAAUAAGUCAGUGGUGAAAUCCUACAGCUUAACUGUAGAAUUGCCGUUGAUACUGUUUUUCUUGAGUAUGGUCAAGGAAGGCGGAAUGUGUAAUGUAGCGGUGAAAUGCUUAGAUAUUACACAGAACACCAAUUGCGAAGGCAGCUUUCUGGCCCAUUACUGACGCUGAGGCACGAAAGCGUGGGGAUCGAACAGGAUUAGAUACCCGCGUA
rnacentral:rRNA from 1 species